rnacentral:rRNA from 1 species
UGGGGAAUAUUGCACAAUGGGCGCAAGCCUGAUGCAGCCAUGCCGCGUGUGUGAAGAAGGCCUUCGGGUUGUAAAGCACUUUCAGCGGGGAGGAAGGCGGUGAGGUUAAUAACCUCAUCGAUUGACGUUACCCGCAGAAGAAGCACCGGCUAACUCCGUGCCAGCAGCCGCGGUCAUACGGAGGGUGCAAGCGUUAAUCGGAAUUACUGAGCGUAAAGCGCACGCAGGCGGUCUGUCAAGUCGGAUGUGAAAUCCCCGGGCUCAACCUGGGAACUGCAUUCGAAACUGGCAGGCUAGAUUCUUGUAGAGGGGGGUAGAAUUCCAGGUGUAGCGGUGAAAGGCGUAGAGAUCUGGAGGAAGACCAGUGGCGAAGGCGGCCCCCUGGACAAAGACUGACGCUCAGGUGCGAAAGCGUGGGGAGCAAACAGG